UUUUUUUUUUUUAAAUAAUAAACUUACCUUACAUGGGAUCUUCAUUUAUAGUCCUGUAUAAAAAUGAACCCAGCAUUUUCUCAAGGAAGCCUCUGGAUGUGAUCACACGUGCCAAGUGAAUUGCACGUGACCAAUACAAGACAGUAAAGUGGGACAUAAAUCGUUAGAUUCUCCCCACCUGAGCCGGAAAUCUUACCGACUGCUGGAAAUCUUAUAGACUAUUGAAGCUUUGUAAACAACUUCCUAACCCAACCCCGUCCAGCUCAAACCAAUCCCGCCACUUUAUAGGUGGGAAACUGAGCCUCCCUCAGAAGGAAGCGCUGUGUCAGUGGCUCAAACCUGGUUUGCUCAGAUCUCUUCCUCCCCCUCUCACCUCUGUGGCAAAAGUGGGUAAUGUCAGGGCUACUAGGAACCAUGCCAUCGAUGUGGACACUCUGCCGGUUGACUCGGGAGUUUGGGGGAGGGGACUCUUGGUGGAAGAGGAGAGAGAAGAGUAAAAGAAUUUAAGAAAUAAGUCUUGGGAAUUUUACUGUUCGAAUGAGGAUCUAUUGUAAGUAGAAUGGAAGGUCACCUCGGCCUUUAAAGCUGGAACAGGAGGUGUCCAGGGAUGAUCUGCUUUGGGUGGCCUCUUCCGGUUGCAGUACCCUGUCCCCACCAACGCUGAAAAAGUGCGAUCCAGUCUCCCAUCCCGCUGUGAUUGGAUCAUGGACACUUAUUUACUUAUUUCAAAAUGGAAGUGUUCUUGUUGGAUGGAAACAAAAGGAAAUUCCAAGGACACCACCUGGACGCUAAGGAAAACAUUGCAGCACUUGCCCGUUGAAGGAGGAAUUGAGAUCAUUACUGCUUUUAAUUGUCUUGGGAGCCAGUAUUUUCUUAAAAGUUUUUUUUUUUUUUUCUUCCCCCUCUUUUCCUAGCUGGACCUCUGGUGCUAUGGUCCUCAGUUCAUGGCUCAUCAUCCUGGGUCUGUGCCUGGUUCUCCCUCUCGAUGGAGAGAUUAAUAAAUUGAUUGAGUGCCUUUUACCCCCUUCUCACCCCUCAUGCCCCAUCACUCACAGGCCCCUUUCUUGUUUGUUGUAUGUGUUCUUGUCACAUGUGGACUGUUGUUUCAUAUGCCUAUUAUUUAUUUUUAUUUUUUACUUUGUACUAUUUCUUCAAUUGCAUCCGUUAUAUUAUGUUGCAUGGAAUCUAUUACUUCUAGUGCAACCUAGAACUCCACACGUUCUGUUAUCCAUUCUCCCGAUGAUGGCACAGAGAUUGCCUGGUCGGAAGGCUGUUUCACAGGGAAUAGGGUCCUCAAUCCAGUCCAGUCAAGUUUACAUAUAAAUUCAGUUCUUUGUGUUCCACCAACGUGGGGAACAAGGAAAAUUUGCCCCUGUCAUUAUUAGACAGCUAAGCGGCCUCUGCCUGCCCUUGAUUUGGUGGAGUAAAGGAAGGGGAAGAGAAUAGAACUGCUGAAUUCAUCUUUCUUUGCUCACUUAACACCUUCGAGAGGGGCGCCAUGCAUUUUAAACAAAUGGGCCAUUCCAGGAGAAUCUUUCAAGGUCAUUUCUCCAGGCUGAGCCCAUUCGAAAACACAGCUGGAAAUAUAGGUUAUGUCUUGAGUACUGUGAUAUUCAGGGUCAAGGACCAGGCAUUGCAAUAAUCCACAUAGCUGGUGAUGUCAACCAAGAGGAAUUUAUGCUGUCAACUGCCCAGACAAAGAUGCAUAUCAUCGCUGAAGCUUCUCAACACACUUCUCUCUCUUGCUUUGUUUGGGGAGGAAGGUCUUUCAAUGAGCAGGGACACUGACAAUUUCGCUUUUGAAAUUGGAUAUGGGAAAAUCAGGAUAAGCAAGUAAGUCUUCUCUUCCAUUGGAUACUUACUGAGCUAAAACUAUGAGAGACCAAAGGGGAUAAUGUUUUAUAAAUGAUGAGAGGUAUUUUAAGUGGCCAACAAUAUAAUUUUAAUGCAUUUAAUUUUUCAAACUAUGCCACAGUCUCCUAUGUGGUAGAAAGUGGUUUUGGCAUUUUGAAUGUGGUGUCCAUGUCUCCCAUAUGUUGGUUAUAAUUGAACCAAAAAUGGAUAAGGCAAUAGAGGGUGUGGGUGGAAGACAGAACUUAGUUUAAUGUAUUUGUUUUUAUUCCAAACACUGCAGCUGUGCACUUUUUAAGCAAUGAGAGACAGAUAGAUAAGGAGGGAGGGAGAAAGGGGAAAAGAGAAAGAAAGAAAGAAAGAAAGAAAGAAAGAAAGAAAGAAAGAAACCGAAAGUCCAUGAGAACUUCUGAAAUCUAACCCUUCUCAACACAGUAUAAAUACCUAGUGCUUCUUUGUUGACUGGUACUUCCUAUGCCUGAGUAUCAAGACUGUGUUGAUGAGUAACUUGCAUGAAUAAGAAGACUGAGGUUAAGAAAAAUGGACUCUGCCACUCAAAGCCAUGUGACCUUCAACAGCUGUUCUCCAGUGAGCUGGGCUCACCAAAGUCACCCUGGAGCCUGCAUUUGCUGAAGAGACCCAACUUGCCCCACAUCAAAGGCGCUAUCUUCUCCCCAUAAACCAUCUCUCUUUCCCAGCAUCUUUGCCUACUAAUGGCUCACUCACUACAUUUCCUUUGAAUCCAGACCUGGACCCAGACCCUUGCCGGCCAUUGAUCUCAGAGCCAAGUUCUGGUGGGGAAGGCAAUGAGGAGGACAGAAAUGUUGCCUCUCCUGGAUGAUGUAUGCAUGCAUGUGAAGCCUGGAACUAAAGAAGACACUAGAUCUUUCCUUGAUGACAUGGGACACUGGACUUUACAGCCUCCUCUGCCUCCACAUCCCUGCACCUGUCUUCCAACAUCUGAGGAUUCUACAAAUAUCUGGAGACGCCAACAGGCCUGCCACCCGGCCCACAGACUCUGGAGCAAUGAACACCCCCGGGGAAGCGGAGAUCUGAACUCUGCUUCCCCAACUGUGAACGGGGGUUUAGUUGGGGGUAGUUCAAGUCAGAGGAGACGAGAGUGCCUGGCAAGAAAAGACACAAUGAAAAGAGAAGAUAGUGGCAGGGACAUAGGGUAUGGGGGCAAAGAAGUCUGGAGAGGCGGCAGUCUGGGGCCUAAGUGGGGCAGUGGGAGGUGAGGGUGGGGGGUGCAUGGCCCCCUAGGCCAGCACAGGCGUUUGGGUUGUGGCCUGUGCCCGGUGGAGGCUCCUGACCAUUCUUAAGCAAGGAUGUAGCAUUCUGUAAUUUCCAAAGAAAAGGGCAGUUUUAAUGGUCAUAGAAGGAUGUUAUGGUUAUUAUAGAGAAUUGGAAAGAUACAGAAAAUAUCGAAAAAACAUAAAGAAGCAAAAAUGAGAAAACGCCAAUCUUGUGGCCU